rnacentral:lncRNA from 1 species
UGCUGGGAUUACAGGCGUGAGCCACCACGCCCGGCCAUGUGCCACAUUUUCUUAAUCAACAACCCAGUAGUUUUUCUAUGGAUAUUAGCAAAUUUAGUUUGUUUGUUUUCCUUGAGACAGGGUCUUGCUCUGUCACCCAGGCUGGAGUGCAGUGGCUUGAUCAUGGCUCACUGCAGCCUCAAUCUCUUGGGCCCAAGCAAUCCUCCCACCUCAGCCUCUGGAGUACUACUACUCUAGGACUACAGAUGUGCACCACCACGCCCAGCUGCAAAUUUAGUUUUAAACAUUUUGGGAUAAUGAUCUACAAAUUAUCCACACUGUUUUGAAAGCUGAUUGUCCCCUGGCCCCUUCCCCAUAUGAUAAAUCACAAAUACUUUUCAAUGACUAAAGAAUAUUCUCUGAAAAAAUAUACAGUAGGUUAGUCAGUUAACCAGUCCCUAAUUUUGGACAUUUAUAAUUAUUAUAAGCAAUACUGCACAUCCCUGACUAUUUACUAAGAAUAUAUUCAGAGAAGUAGAAUUACGGGGUCGAAUCAUAUAAACAUUUUGAUACAUUCUGCUAAAUUGGCUUUUCAAAUAAUUUUACUCAUUUCCAUUUCCAUAAGCAGCAUAUGAGAAUAUCAAUAUUGAUUCAUCUUAGUGAGCACUGGGUAUUAUCACAUUUGUAACAUAUCGUCUCUUAUGAAUGAAUGAAGGAAUGAAUGACAAGAGCCUUUCCUGGGAGGGAUAAUGUCUCCUUGUGGUGCUGCUGUCACACUGCCACUCUCCUUGUGACCAGCUCAGAUCCCCUGCCUGUGCGAAUGUGUGUGUUGCUCAGGAGGGGAGGUGGGGAGGUGAGGAUAGGGGGCUGACUUCCAGACUAUUUCAGUGUGGCUUUUAGAUCUCAGCCAAUUCUGUGAAGUGACCGUGCAGCCAAACUAAUCACCCUUCCUUGGGCCAGGUUAAUGUGCUCCUCUCUUGCUGCUUGGAUCAAUACCGUACUUACUGCAGAUUAGCUAAAUGAGCCAGUGCAGCUGGGAAUGAGCUUCUAGAGACAAUUACUAUGGAAAAUGCAGCCAUAUUUUAGUGGGCACCACAUGCAUGAGGCUCUUUGCAAAUAUCAAUAUAUAUUUGCUUGCUUGACAGAAAUAGAUCAAACCUAAGUCCGGAGAUUAAUCCAGAUGAUCAGAGUGUACAUGCUUCUUGUUGUGCAUAGUGUGGCGGAACCUUGACCUUUUCCAUGGUUGCUAUUGUUCGGAUUGUGCUGGAAGUAACCCAAAAUGGGCUGGUGGUUGGCCCAUGCGAUUGUCUGCAAGUUUAUUGCAGGUACAAAUAGUAAUGAGGCUGCUUAUGGUGAUAAUCGUUUAUCUCACUUGAUCUUCACCACAACCUUGAAAUGCUCACUAAAUGUUUAUUUAAUAAAUUCAUUCAUUCCCUUAACAAAUAAUGACUGAGUAGCCUUUAUGUACAGGGCCUUGUUCUAGGUGCUGGAGAAACAGUAGUGAAGAAGACAGGGCCUUUUUCAGUGGAACUUGCAGCCUGGUGGGACAAGAGUGACAAUAAACAAGGAAGCCAUGCGCAUGGAGAAGUAAUCACGCAUUGAGAGGGCGUGAGCUGGAACCAGACCAGCAGUUCCAAGGAACGGAGAAGCUGCCGUGCAGGGCUGGAGUGUGAUGAGCAAGGCAGGAACAGCACAUCAUCCGGUGAGAGAAGCAGACAGCGGCCAGGCCACACAGAGCCCUGCAGGGCACGCUGGCAGAGUUGCUUGAAAUGAAGCCGUUCCCUGAAAAGCACACAUGAAUUUCCCCUGCGGAAAAUUCAAACAGACACACUUGAGGAUUUCCACUAAAUUCUCUCUGGCCCCCAGAGCACUGGGGAAGCAUGUGAGACCUGUGCCAUCCCGGAACUGUGGCGACAAUGGUAGUUAACGUCCAUCAUCUGCAGGCACCUUCAGGAUGUGGAGCAUGCAGAGAUGACUCACGCCCACACCGGUGACCUCCAACACACCAGGGAAGGCAGGAAAAGGCUGUGUGCCAGGAUCUUGUUCUGGGCUAGAAAAGUAUGCCUGUUCGUUACCCGACCUUUGCUAAGUACACCAACUAAUGGAGCGAGAGACAUGAAAGAUCUUCACAGGCCAUGUGGAAAUGUAAUUCAAACCCAGCCCGAGGAGGUCAUAGUACGUGUUCAGCAAGUAAACAUGGAGCCUGCUGAAGCUGGGAAUGCAAAGUGUGCAAGAAGCCUGCCUAUGGGAACCUACGGCUCAGCAGGGAGACAUGAAAUAGCUGGGAACGCCCCCUGCACAGUGUAAAGGGCGUGCUACCUUGGGAAGGGGACAGAAACAGAGGAGAGGGGGGAUCCUGGCCAGCAGGGGUGUCACAGAAGGCUUUUUAAAGGAGGGGGCCUUGGAGCUGAACUUUGAGGCCAGUGGCAUUCGAACACAUCCACGGGUCUCCCUUUCGGAUUUCAGUGCCCUCUUGGCCUUGGGCUGAUGAGCUAAGUUGCUACUGGAGAAUGACCUUUCACAGGAAAUUCAGAACCCCAGUCAUCAAUGUUUGACUACCCUGUCACCAAGUCCCUCCAUUGCCCUGGCUUGAUGUGGCUGCGAGAAGUCACCUGUUCAGGCCCCUCCUGCCUCCUCCACACACUGACCUCCCUCAGACUCAGAACAGCCGAUGCUGCCCUCUGAGGCCUGCCCCUUUGCACAGGCUUUGCCCACAUCUGGGCUCCUGGAUUCCUCAGAAGCCGGCUCCUGGGGCCUGUCCAGCAAGGCUUGGAAGCCCGGGUCCCCAAAGACCUGCUAGUUAAUGAGUUCUGCAAAAACUAGGUCUGUCUGUAAUCGAAAUGGGAGUACAAGGCUCACACGGUCCCUGAAUUAAUUCAGUCCUGUUAGAAAGGGAGCAAGGCAGAGUUUCUGCUGCUGUCUGCAGGACCCAUGGAGGGGUUCUAUGCACCAUUACUUCCAUUUGGGGACCCAUUGUUUUCCAUCACUUCAGCACAAUCUGGAAAACAUUCUCCAAGUCUAUUAUUCCUGUCUCCUGCUGCCACACUGAGGCAGUUGUUAACAAUGCCCUCUGCCCACCCCGGACCCCUCCUCCAUUUAAAUACCAGUCUGAUGGGCAAAGAGAGCAUUUAAUGACUGCUCCAGACUAAAAAGUUCCUAUUAUUUUAUUCCCUUCUUACUCCUGCCCAAUUUCCUUCCAGAUGGGGCAGGUGGGUAUAAAAUAUAUGGAGCUGGAAUUACAAUAGCAAGAAGACAGGUGGGGAAAUUGAAUGUGGUUGGAAAAUUUGUCCGUAUGCCUACAGGUGUGUCUUAUGAGAUCUUGCAGGCUACCACCACCCCCGCUACCCCAGCCUGGCCAUUCUCCAAAUGGUCUGGGAAUGGGGAAUAUGAGUGGCCAAGACUUCCCCUCCUGUUGGAGUGGUCUGAGUAUCCAGGCAGAAGGAAAGGAGAUAUUUAGCAAGGGGGCGCUUAGAAUGGCAGCCUUGAAGAGGUGCAGGCAGUGCUGACUUGACACUACCUUCACCAUCAGGUGUUGGGCCCCCAGUACGAUACCACAGAGUCUUUAUGCCUUCCUUCUGGAUUCUCUUCUUUCCUCUCCUUACUCAGAUGCCACCUCCAUUGGGAAGUCUUCCUUGAUUACCCCAGAGUUAGUUUCUCCGUCCUUUCUGCUCCUCUCUCUGCAUCCCUAUUAAAUGUGUUAUUGGUCUAUGAUGUUCUGCAUUACAACCUGUGUUUGAUGGCUGGUGACUUCCUGUACAGAGGAGAUUUAGGGACAUGCAUGCUUGAGAAAGACUCCUGUUCUCCACUUGCUUGCUGUGUGACUGUACAAAUUUCUAUUAUCUCUGUAACUCCAUCUGCAACAUGAGGACAAAAAAAUCUACGUCACAAGGCUGCUGUAAGGAGUAAGAUCCAGCUUCCUUCUCUCCACCUCAGCCAUUUACAGUCACUACUAUUGGGAAACUAGGGCUCUGGAGUCAGAUCAGCCUGGGUUUGAAUCCUGGCUCCACCACUUUCCAGCUGUCUUUGGCCCUGUUACAAUCCUUCUGUGCCUCAGUUUUUCAUCUGUAAAAUGGUGGUAACUCCUAUCCCAUAUCUCAUACACUUCUUGGGAGAAUAAACUAGGGUAAUGCACGUAGAUUGCUCAGCAUAGGCCUGGCAACAUUCUGAAAGUUAGCUAUCAUUAUUGGUAGUGUUGUCACUAAAACUGUGAGUUGGUGGAGUCCGAAAUCUCAGCCUAGUAUAGUGCCCAGAGCCCAGUGAGUACUGAGUAUAUAAAAAGGAAAAUGUUUCAUUGUAAACUGGGAACCAUGAUCCAAAUGUAAUGCUCAGAAAUGUCACCCCUUGUCAAUUAUGAAUGAUUAGGACAUGAUGCAGGU